AACGAACGCUGGCGGCAGGCUUAACACAUGCAAGUCGAGCGCCCCGCAAGGGGAGCGGCAGACGGGUGAGUAACGCGUGGGAACGUACCUUUUGGUUCGGAACAACUCCGGGAAACUGGAGCUAAUACCGGAUAAGCCCUAACGGGGAAAGAUUUAUCGCCGAAAGAUCGGCCCGCGUCUGAUUAGCUAGUUGGUGAGGUAACGGCUCACCAAGGCGACGAUCAGUAGCUGGUCUGAGAGGAUGAUCAGCCACACUGGGACUGAGACACGGCCCAGACUCCUACGGGAGGCAGCAGUGGGGAGUAUUGGACAAUGGGCGCAAGCCUGAUCCAGCCAUGCCGCGUGAGUGAUGAAGGCCUUAGGGUUGUAAAGCUCUUUUGUCCGGGAAGAUAAUGACUGUACCGGAAGAAUAAGCCCCGGCUAACUUCGUG
rnacentral:rRNA from 1 species